rnacentral:rRNA from 1 species
UACAGAGGUCUCAAGCGUUGUUCGGAUUCAUUGGGCGUAAAGGGUGCGUAGGCGGCGCGGUAAGUCGGGUGUGAAAUCUCGGAGCUUAACUCCGAAACUGCACUCGAUACUGCUUUGCUUGAGGACUGGAGAGGAGAUUGGAAUUCACGGUGUAGCAGUGAAAUGCGUAGAUAUCAGGAGGAACACCGGUGGCGAAGGCGGGUCUCUGGGCCGAUACUGACGCUGAGGAGCGAAAGCGUGGGGAGCGAACAGG